rnacentral:lncRNA from 1 species
GAAAUUUUGCAACCCGGUAAGAAAAUACAAAAGAAAAUUACUCAAUUAGCAGACAUGCUCCAACAAACCCAAGAAGGAGCCAGUAAAUGGGAAAGAAUUCUUUCAAGGGAAGAGAAAAAUUUCCAAGACACAUACAGACGAGAAAAAAUAAAGUUUCAUAAGUAUGUUGCUAAAUGACCUUAUAAGGCUGACACUCUAUAAUAUAAAUAUUGACAUUUCACAGGAAUACUGUAUGAAGAAGUUCUAGGUCACUUAUGUCCAAACCCACCUUCCAUUUGACAUUCAGCGACGCCUCUUUCAAGUAAUGAAGUGAAGAACGCAGGAAAACGGUAAAAUAAACACACAAAGUUUCAUGAAAGACUCUUCAGAGAUUCUCAACUAAUUCUUUUAAGUGUUAAGCUGGGUUGAUGAGGCUCAAGUACCUGCAAUAGGUCGUCUCUAAGUACGGAUGAAGGAAGCAAGCUUGAAAAUUACACCUGAGCUGGACAACAAAGAUAAAGCUAACUAUCUAUUGUUACUGUCCCUAAUGGGAAUAAGGAAUCACAAAUGCAAUUUUUUUUUCACAUUUUUUACGUGCUUUAUUUCGCAUAAAUAUACAGUGCUCAAACUCCAAAGCUUCAAUCUCCGAAUUUUUGCAUUCUCUAUUUUUACCAAAGUUAUUCAGGGCGUGACCGAAGCUGAGGGGUAGCAUUGAACCUGUAUGUGUCAACAAUCGAAUUCCUGAAAUUCUCUAAUUACUUUAUCUAUGAGAAAUGACUGAAAAUAAUUAUUAGCCAGAUAAUCCUACUAAAAAGAGAAACAGGGUUGAAUGCAAGAGACCCCAUGUUCUUGUAUACCCUCAACAUAAUAGGCAAUUAACAGGGAGGUUUAAGGGAAUACAGAAGAAACCAGAGAAAAAUCUUCCUAAAUAUUUUGAAGCCUUGGAUUGGAGUAUCCUUUAUUAAGACAAGGCCUUCUGGAGUGAAGAUAACCUUUCCAAUGGACAUCAAAAGAAAUUUUACUUUUUUUUUAAACAUAAAAGAUUGAUAUUGACUUCAGUGAAGCUUAGAUCAACUGCCUCAGCAUGUCGCCAAGGUGGUAAGAGAAUGAUCCAUAAAUUGCUACAACACAGAGUCAUCAAAGAACCAGUUGUAGCACCAGACCCAUCCCUACUAACACUGAUGAUACCCACUUCUAAAAAUUACCCUGGGAAUCCAAAAAAAUUUACACUGGAUGCCCUAUGAAGUAGGGAGGAGUUUCAAGUCUCCCUCAAUCUAAAAAAAUACCUCAUGAUACGCCUCCUAUUCAAAGUAUUAUUUUAUGGCAUCUAGCAUAUCAAGAUAGAGACUAUAUAGUGCUAUGGAACUGGAAUUUCAAGGCUAAAGUUGGUUGGGAAAUAACUAGAGUGAAGGCAUUAAAGUUUUUCAUCAUAUUUCCUUUUCCAUCAUUGUCCAGAAAUGCCCACUACGAACCCGGCACGAGUCCUGUCAGAGGAAUUAUCUUUAAACAGCAGACGCCUUAUGUGAAAACAUGUAGGGAACCAAACACGAGCUUUUUAUUUCCUUGAUCUACUUUAUGGUGAUUAGAAUGGGUGAAUAUAUUUAUAUUUAAGAGCACAUAAACAGAACAUGACAAGUCGAAUCUUCAAUCAAAAUAUGGCAUUUCACAGAAAAUGGCUCUGUCUAUCAACAGGGAGACUAACCUUUAAACAGCCGUAUUGCAGGUUUGGAGGGAGACCUACAGUGGAAUCUCACCCAUUAACUUCCUCCAUCUGUCGGAAGAGCAUUGUCAGGCUUAGAUCAGAAGUUCAUCAUCCAGAAGGUCAAACUCACAUCAUCAAGAUAUAUAGGUUCAACGACUUUUAAGAGCCACUAAGUUUGCGGCAUAGGAUCAAAUUUGGAAUUGCCUUUGCCGAUUAGAGGCAUCUUUAGCAAAUAUCUCAAGCUCGAACUCUGUAAACUUUUUCUUUUUCUCGAAAAAUUAUGGGAUAUGAGCACUUGAGAAACCCUAUGCCCAUCCAAAUAAAAUCACCAAGUAGCAUGAUUCUCAUCCUUUGGAAGUCCUUAUUGAAACUAGGGAACAUAAGAAAUUAAUUUAAGAAAUGGAGGCUAGAAACAUCUCGCCAGAUCCAGCUUGAAUGCAGAACUAAACCAUGAAGGUGCAUGAAAACCAACAGAAAUCCUGAGCUGCGCUCUGCUACUUGCGACCAGUAGUGAAAACCGAGUCAGACCCAGCAAUAAACCAGAACAGUGAUCAUCCUCAGUUGAUAUGAAGUUAAUAUAUAUAUAUAUAUAUAUAUAGAGUAGCGA